rnacentral:RNase_P_RNA from 1 species
GGAGUGGGCCAGGCGGCCGCGCGCAGCGAUGCGUGAGGAAAGUCCGGACUCCACAGGGCAAGGUGCCUGCUAACGGCAGGGCGGCGCGAGCCGACGGAAAGUGCCACAGAAAAGAAGACUCCCUCGCUCACGCGAGAGAAAAGCUGAAACGGUGCGGUAAGAGCGCACCAGCGCCAUGGCAACAUGGCGGCUUGGCAAACCCCACCUGGAGCAAGGGCCAAUAGGAGCGGUCAAGGCUGGCCCGGCCGUCGCUCGGGUUUGCCCGCACGAGGCCAUCGGUGACGGUGGUCCCAGAUAAAUGGUCGCCCACGACAGAAUCCGGCUUACAGGCCCACUCCCGCC